rnacentral:rRNA from 1 species
GACGAACGCUGGCGGCGUGCCUAAUACAUGCAAGUCGAGCGCAGGAAACUGACGGAACUCUUCGGAGGGAAGGCAGUGGAAUGAGCGGCGGACGGGUGAGUAACACGUAAGGAACCUGCCUCAAGGAUUGGGAUAACUCCGAGAAAUCGGAGCUAAUACCGGAUAGUUCAACGGACCGCAUGGUCCGCUGAUGAAAGGCGCUCCGGCGUCACCUUGAGAUGGCCUUGCGGUGCAUUAGCUAGUUGGGGGGGUAACGGCCCACCAAGGCGACGAUGCAUAGCCGCCCUGAGGGUAUGAUCGUCCACACUGGGACUGAGACACGGCCCAGACUCCUACGGGAGGCAGCAGUAGGGAAUCUUCCACAAUGGACGAAAGUCUGAUGGAGCAACGCCGCGUGAGUGAUGAAGGUUUUCGGAUCGUAAAACUCGGUCGUAAGGGAAGAACACGUACGAGAGGGAAUGCUCGUACCUUGACGGUACCUUACGAGAAAGCCACGGCUAACUACGUGCCAGCAGCCGCCGUAAAAC